AUGAUGGCGCGAUAUUGUUCGGCAUCGACGUCCGCUUCGUGCGCAGCUGCCGGCGUCGACGACGGCGAGCCCCGUCUGCCGGUGGUGUCCCUGGCCCAUCUGCUGCAGGGGCCUGACGCGGCGCCGCCGGAGUACCUGACGCUGUCGCUCACGCCCGCCGGGGAAGCAUGGCCGCGGCGGGAACAACCCGGGGAGGUGACGCUGAACCAUAUAAACGCGCCGCGUGACUACCUAAAGCUCUCCGUCGCGCCACCGGAUGAAGAUGAACCAAGCACCGUCGCUGGCGGCUCCCUCGUCGCCUCGGUUGCCUCCAGCGGCGCGUCGGAAACGACGCUGCCACCCAAGAAGCGAAAGCUAGCAGCUCGUGUUUACCAAGAAGCAUCGCUGGCGAUAGUGAUCCACGGAGACAACAAGGUCACGGAAUCCUCUAGGACACACGGCGGCGACGCCGAGAAGCGUUCCCCGGCAGCAAUGACCGGCCAACCCAUCGACGCCGUCCCUCUGCGGGCGGUGUACCGCGGCCAUGCCGGAAUAGUCUCGCACCUGUCAAGGCUGAGCCACGGCGUCAAAGAGAUCACAACGAACGAUGUCGCGUCCACCUCAGGCAGCGCCGCGGCGGCACCGUUCUCCAUUGAGCCCAUUGAUGCCGUUCCGCUACGGGCGGCGCCGAGCCCGCACAUCCCUCACGCCGCCGGCGCAGCCCCGAUGGAGCUGGCCUGGAUACGCACGGCGCUGGGUCUCCAGCCAGGCCACGCGCUCUACUUCAUCGCCCAGAAGCGCGUCGAGUGCUCGGACCUCGAAGCGCAGCAGAGCCGCUUCAGGAUACCGAGCGCCGCCAUCGACCGUCUCCGCCCGCUCCUCUCCGACGAGGGGCGUCACGCCGCCAACCUAGACAGUCUCAAGCCCCGGGAGAAGCCGAAACCGCAGGCGUCCGGCAACGGGAAGGCGCAGGGGAGGAAGCACGGCGGGCUGGUCGUGCCGCUCUACAUCAACCGUGCCGGCGACCGGAUGAACGCUCGGCUGACACGAUGGGAUUCGAACGAGUACACGGUGCUGAAAUACGGAAACAGCCAGAGUUUCGUCCGCGGGAGUAGCCUCAAAGUGAUGGACAGAAUCCAGAUAUGGGCGUUCCUGAACCCUGGCCUGCAUUUGGUGAUCCACAAGAUCGACGGCGGGGAGACGACGGCGGCGCCAUCGGCAUCAGCAGGAGGGCAGCAGUCAGCAGAGCAAGCCCCACCUGGUAUAGUGUAG
rnacentral:rRNA from 1 species